ACGAACGCUGGCGGCAGGCCUAACACAUGCAAGUCGAACGGUAACAGGAAGCAGCUUGCUGCUUCGCUGACGAGUGGCGGACGGGUGAGUAAUGUCUGGGAAACUGCCUGAUGGAGGGGGAUAACUACUGGAAACGGUAGCUAAUACCGCAUAACGUCGCAAGACCAAAGAGGGGGACCUUCGGGCCUCUUGCCAUCGGAUGUGCCCAGAUGGGAUUAGCUAGUAGGUGGGGUAACGGCUCACCUAGGCGACGAUCCCUAGCUGGUCUGAGAGGAUGACCAGCCACACUGGAACUGAGACACGGUCCACG
rnacentral:rRNA from 1 species